AAAUCUCGACCGGGGCGACAGCAAUAUGAAGGUCAGGCUGAAGACCUUACCCGAUUAGCUGAGAGGUGGUGCAUGGCCGUCGUCAGUUCGUACUGUGAAGCAUCCUGUUAAGUCAGGCAACGAGCGAGACCCACGUCCACAGUUGCCAGCAUACCCUCCGGGGUGAUGGGUACACUGUGGAGACCGCCGCUGCUAAAGCGGAGGAAGGAGUGGGCAACGGUAGGUCAGUAUGCCCCGAAUCUCCCGGGCUACACGCGGGCUACAAUGGUUGGUACAAUGGGCAUCUACCCCGAAAGGGGAAGGAAAUCUCUUAAAGCCAAUCGUAGUUCGGAUUGAGGGCUGCAACUCGCCCUCAUGAAGCUGGAAUCCGUAGUAAUCGCGUUUCAACAGAACGCGGUGAAUACGUCCCUGCUCCUU
rnacentral:rRNA from 1 species